GCUCCCGGGAAGGGUCACAGCCUGCGCUUUCAGACACUGGAUGAGGGCACCGCUGGCUCUGCUGCUGUGACUUUUCUACUGGGGAUCGAGGGUUCGCCCUCCUCUCUAACCUUUGCUCAGGUUUCCGUGACGACGUCUGGCUAGCCUGGAUCCUGCUUGAGCUUGGUUUUCUACUGAGUGGUAGGUACAACUCAGACUAGUGGAUCUAUGCUCCGCCUUUUUUUUUUAAGUCAAGAUGUCGCCUAUUGAGACACCGACGUGCUCACCAUGUAUGUACUUAUCAGAAACACUCAAGCACCAUGGAUGGAAUAUAUAAAGGCCCCUCUGCAUAUUAACUUGGUUAACCCUCACUUCAGGAUCAGACAACGAGGUUUUAAACAAAAACAAACAAAAAACCCAGAUCUUAGAAAUAUUGUCCUCAAAGGAGAACUGAAUGUUUGAAACCCACAUGCCUGUUUUUUCAGACCACUUGACACUCAUCAUGGUGGCUGUUUUCAGACACGCUCUUUCUUGGAGUAGAGAAAAAUCUAAGCCAGUUUCCCAUUUUCUUCAGUGGAGAAGACUGAUUGCCACAUAAUGGAAAGUCACCAGCCCCUUACUUCACAAUGCACCCAUUUGGGCUAGGGGCAUCCUGUCAUAAGCAUGUUCUAUUGCUUAACCAGACAGAGGCUGCCCACUUGACCUACAAGUAAUGAGUCUGAUCUUUAUGCACCUUUCUAACCCAUAAGACGAGCUGGAAACUACUUUCUGGAUUCUUGGAUUAAGCAGCAUAGGUAAUCAGAUACAUUCUCUCUCACUGUAUUUUGUGGACCAGUCAGUCAGCAACCUUUGACUCAAGGACAGACCUUCUCAUCUCAUUCCCCACAGCACCCUACAGAAAAUCCUGCCGAGUGACUAGACUGGCCUUGACCUGCCUCAGCCUCCUGCGUAGCUCUGAUUACAAGCAAUUACACUUGGUGUCUUCUAGUGCGAUGUAGUUGAAGAGGGGCACACGACAUGCUCAGAAGAACCCUAUCAUGUGAUCGUGUCACCUAACUGCAAGGAGAGCUAAAUGAAGUCGUUAGCUGGCCAACGAUUUGUCAUCUAAUCCUCACUCCUAUUGAAGAGCGAGGGAGUGGAUGUUAGCCAGCCAUCUGCCCACUUCAACCAUCCUUGUGUUCUGAUUUUUUUAAUCUGAUUUUUAAUACACUUUUUAAAUAUAUAUAUAUAUGCUAUUUUA